rfam:Spinacia oleracea cultivar SynViroflay scaffold60606.1, whole genome shotgun sequence.
AGCCACGCAGUGAGCACAAAGCGAACUAUUCUUUCGCCUUUUACUAAAGAAUACCGUGUGUUCGCUGCAUUCAGUGGCAUACGUUUAUUUUUGGAGGGAGUUCUUUCAUAGAAGCU